GCCCAGAUGGUGAAAUUGGUAGACACGCUAGUUUCAGGGACUAGUGGCCGAAAGGCUGUGCAGGUUCGAGUCCUGUUCUGGGCAC
rnacentral:tRNA from 1 species